AAUGGCAGGUACAGAGGGGUGCUACCGGGUGACCGGAUGCCGAUCUCGAAAACCUGUCCCAGUUCGGACUGGAGUCUGCAACCCGACUCCACGAAGUUGGAUUCGCUAGUAAUCGCGCAUCAGCCAUGGCGCGGUGAAUACGUUCCCGGGCCUUGUACACACCGCCCGUCAAGCCAUGGGAGCCGGGGGGCGCCUGAAGUCCGGGACCGCGAGGACCCGGCCUAGGGGCGAAACUGGUGACUGGGGCUAAGUCGUAACAAGGUAAC
rnacentral:rRNA from 1 species